rnacentral:rRNA from 1 species
AUUGAACGCUGGCGGCAUGCCUUACACAUGCAAGUCGAACGGUAACAGGUCUUCGGAUGCUGACGAGUGGCGAACGGGUGAGUAAUACAUCGGAACGUGCCUAGUAGUGGGGGAUAACUACUCGAAAGAGUGGCUAAUACCGCAUGAGAUCUACGGAUGAAAGCAGGGGAUCGCAAGACCUUGUGCUACUAGAGCGGCCGAUGGCAGAUUAGGUAGUUGGUGGGAUAAAAGCUUACCAAGCCGACGAUCUGUAGUUGGUCUGAGAGGACGAUCAGCCACACUGGGACUGAGACACGGCCCAGACUCCUACGGGAGGCAGCAGUGGGUAAUUUUGGACAAUGGGCGCAAGCCUGAUCCAGCAAUGCCGCGUGCAGGAUGAUGGCCUUCGGGUUGUAAACUGCUUUUGUACGGAACGAAAAGCCCUGGGUUAAUACCCUGGGGUCAUGACGGUACCGUAAGAAUAAGCACCGGCUAACUACGUGCCAGCCGCCGCCGUAACAC